GGGAGAUGGAAAAUGAAUCAACCAGAAGUGAAUAAAGGAAUUUCAGGCUUUGGCAGAAGGGCCUCCUAUGAUUGGGCCGUGGGUGUUGGCAACAAGCCAGGAUUGGAGAACAGCUCAUUUGCCCUCAGCAGCUCCCUGCUGCCCUCAGUGGGGAGGCAGAGGAAGCCCACUACGGAAAGGAAAGGAAUUUGGGGCUGUGCUGUGGUGAGGGAAGUAGCAGCGAAGUGACAAACUGUGGAGUUAAACAGCAAGUUGAGCAGAGUCAAGCCAGGAGCCGACAGCUUGACAAAAUGUAUGCGAGAAGGUUUGGACUGAGUGGUAGGAAAUCCCUGAGUGAGCAGAGGGAAUAUUUCAUUAGAAGGGAUUUAUUCAUUCUGAGGAUACAAUUUAGCAUGAAAUUAAGAUACUGCUAGAGACAGUCUUUGUGAAGUCUCUUCUGCAGAAAUGUGAAAGGAAGGAUAACCAAUACUUGAUGAUAUUGUGUCUCCUUCUAUUAAAUCCAACAAUGACGAUAGCAAUAGAAUAAUAAUGAUAACCACCCUAAAUUGAAUUUUGGGAUCAAUAUAGGUCAUUUAUAUCAGUAACCCUGAAGUACAGACAUAAUUAUAUACAUAUUCAAGAUGAAGUAACUGAGAUUUAGAAAGGUUAGUAAUUCUCCCAGGCUCACAUAGCUAAUGUGUCAGGGUGAGUUUUUCUCCCAAGAUAUGCUCUUUGUAAAACUUGUGGGUUUCCAUUAUAUUGUUAUCCUGUUUUUAGUUCUUAAAACUAGCAACCCAGUCUAUGUGCCUUUAUACAUACCUACAUGCAAAUUUUCUCUAUUAUAUACUGAAUUUUUCUAAUAAUAUUGUAUGAUUUUUCUUGCUGCAUGUUUGUGUGUGUUUUGCUUUGCCAUGAAUUUGAAAGUAGUUUGAGAGAUAGAUCCCACCACGUUUCUUUUUAUAGAGGACCUAUUACCUAUAGAGUUAUUAUAGUCCCUGAUUCUGAAUAGACGUUUGCUGAUGAUAAUGUCAGUAUUACAAAACAAUUUCCCCUUUUUAACAAAGAAGAGAAAACUUAUGUACACACUUCAUAUGUAAUUCUUGGCAUAAAGGGUGUAUAUAAAUUCAUAUAUCUAUAAUUUUUGAAUGUUUACAAAAUGGCCAGAUUAAAAAUCAUUUGAGGGAGUUCCCAUUGUGGUGUAGUGGAAACGAAUCCAACUAGGAACCAUGAGGUUGCGGGGUCGAUCCCUGGCCUCACUCAGUGGGUUAAGGAUCCAACAUUAUGGUGAGCUAUGGUGUAGGUCAUAGACACAGCUCAGAUCUGGCAUUGCUGUGGCUCUGGUGUAGGCCGGCAGCAACAGCUCCGAUUAGAUCCCUAGCCUGGGAACCUCCAUAUGCCAUGGGUGCGGCCCUAUAAAGACAAAAGACAAAAAAGAAAUCAUGUGAAUAAUACUUUGUUUUUCAUCUAUAUGAUAUUCUUUCCCCUAACAGAGAGCUUUUAAACAGAUUAAACAGAGUAUUUUAAACAGACUAUUUUCUUUUAAUUUUUAUUGAAAGAUAGUUGAUUUACAAUGUUAUGUUAGUUCCAGAGGUACACCAGAGUGAUAUUUAGAUGCAUAUAUGUAAUAAUGAUAUAAUAUAUAUGUAUGUAUAUAUUUGUAUAUAUAUUCUUUUUUAACAUUCUCUUCCAUUAUAACUUAUUACAUGAUAUUGAAUAUGGUUCCCUCUCCUAUGCAAUAGGUCCUUGUAUAUAGUAGUAUGUAUCUGCUAAUCCCAAACUCCUAGUUUAUCCCUCUCUCUGCUUUCCCCUUUGGUAACCAUAAGUUUGUUUUCUAUGUCUGUGAUUCUAUUUCUGUUUUAUAAAUAAGUUCAUUUGCAUCAUUUUUUAGAUCCCACAUAUAAGUGAUAUCAUACGAUAUUUGUCUUUCUCUGUCUGACUUACUUCACUUGGUAUGAUAAUCUCUAGAUGUACCCGUGUUGUUGCAAAUAACACCAUUUCAUUUUUAAUGGCUGAGUAAUAUUCCAUCGUGUAUAGCUACCACUGCUUCAUUAUCUAUUGAUCUGUAAACACACUCUUUUCUAAUACCAUGUGUUUAUGGAACACUGGUCUCGAGGUAUAUGUUCCCUAUACAAAGGAUUUAUCACCAAACCCAUUUUGCAGUUGUAUUAAUUUAUGAUAAGACGUAGCUCAAAAAGAAAGUUUAUUCAUCUACCACCUGUGCUCCUUUUUUCCUGGAUGGAGAAUUGUUAGUAAUCAGAGGAAAGUGAGUGGUUUUGAGCCAUCUUUUCCCACAGAUUACAACUCUGGUGUUAAGGAAAGAGACCUUAGGCUGAUAAAUUCUCGUUUUCUUUUAUCUCUCUCUCUCUCCCUCUCUCUUUCCCUCUCUUCCUUCUUUUUAUUCCUCUUCUACUUCUCACUGUCCCAUUCACAUGUACUCCCCCCUCUCCUCUCUGUACUUCCGAACCAAUGAAUACAGGCUUCCUUGUAUUUCAAUUAGAACAGACCAUUACCUCCAGUGACAUAUCUCCUCUUAGACAUUCUACUGCCAUCAAUGAGCUUAGCAUUUUCUUUUUCAUUCAUUCCAGCAAAGCUGGACACUCUUCUCUCUCCCUGCUUUUAAAAAGAGAGACAUAUAAUUUCAAGGCAACUCCCAUGGAUAGAGUUAUUUUUACUGUGAAAUUACUUUUCAAAGGGUAACCUCACUUUCACACUCUUGUAGUAGAUAGUAUUCCAUGCACAGGCUACAUUUUACACAUUCAAAAUGCAGCAUAAUUAUGAAGCCAAAGCCAGUUAUUGUCAGGCUAUAUUAUUAGCAGCAGCAUCAGGAGAUUUUUGCUGAGAGCCUUUUUUCAGUAGGGGCCCUAGGCCACAUGAAACAAUCUCAAUUUCAGUCUGCUUUCACUGCCACAUAAGUUAAGGACAAUCUCUUUUUGAAAAUUUCAUAGCUUAGUGGCUCAUGGCCUAGGUUUUCUUCAAUAUCUUAUAAUAACUUACAGUGGAAAACAGUCUGAAAAACGAUAGAUAGAUAGAUAGAUAGAUAGAUAGAUAGACAUAUAUGAUCGAUCUCUCUAUCUAUCUAUCUAUCUAUAUAUAUAUAUAUGUACACAUACACACACAUUGCUAUAA
ensembl:lncRNA